GGUGAGAAACCCGUCCGCCGGAUGACUAAGGGUUCCAGGGUCAAGCAAUCUGCCCUGGGUAAGUCGGGACCUAAGGCGAGGCCGACAGGCGAGUCGAUGGACAACGGGUUGAUAUUCCCGUACCAGUGAGAACCGCCCAUGCUGAGCCGGUGAUACUAACCGCCCGGAACCAUCCCGAACCUCGUCUUUGACGGGGACGGUGGUGGGGAGCGGCGGGACCUGAACCGGGAGGCAAGCGCAUUAACAGGUGUGACGCAGGAAGGUAGCCGGGCCGGGCAAUGGAAAUGACCUGGUCUAAGGGUGUAGGGCUGCCGGUAGGUAAAUCCGCCGGCUGUGUGCCUGAGACCUGAUGGGCGCCCACAUGUGGGUGAUCCGGUGAUCCUAUGCUGCCUAGAAAAGCAUCGGCGCGAGGUUCAAACUGCCCGUACCCUAAACCGACACAGGUGGUCAGGUAGAGAAUACUAAGGCGAUCGAGAGAAUCAUGGUUAAGGAACUCGGCAAAAUGCCCCCGUAACUUCGGGAGAAGGGGCCCCAACCUUGAGCACCACUCGCUGGUGUGAGGGGAUCGGGGCCGCAGAGACCAGGGGGAAGCGACUGUUUAUCAAAAACACAGGUCCAUGCGAAGUCGUAAGACGAUGUAUAUGGACUGACUCCUGCCCGGUGCUGGAAGGUUAAGGGGACCCGUUAGCUUCGGCGAAGCGGAGAACUUA
rnacentral:rRNA from 1 species